UACGAAGGGGGCUAGCGUUGCUCGGAAUCACUGGGCGUAAAGGGUGCGUAGGCGGCGGAGUAAGUUGGGUGUGAAAUCCCGGGGCUCAACCUCGGAAUGGCAUUCAAUACUGCUUCGCUCGAGUACUGGAGAGGAGGCUGGAAUUUACGGUGUAGCAGUGAAAUGCGUAGAUAUCGUAAGGAAGGCCGGUGGCGAAAGCGAGCCUCUGGACAGUUACUGACGCUGAUGCACGAAGGCCAGGGGAGCAAACGGG
rnacentral:rRNA from 1 species